UAACGCCAUCAUCGGUUGUGAUUCAAAAAGGAAGAAAAUGGUUGUGAUACAUAUGUCAAAAACUGCCAGUAAGUUUACCCACAGGAAGUUGCGGAGUACAGUCAGCAGAUACUUUCGGGCACUUGGUGAAUAUAUGACCUACUUUAUUAUUGAAACAUUUAACAAUCUAAAUCCCAAACUUAUGGACAUGGCCGCGCAUUUUGUUGGUGAUGUACUUGUCCCAGGAACUGACCCUUGCCGUGUAACGCGGAGCAGUCACAUUGGAGUAACAGUUUUUGGCGAUAUGGCAGUAACAUACUGUCCCCUGUGGGCACAGGGGACAGUAGGAAAAAUAUCAAGAUACAAUCUUAAUCGGAAGAAAAAAGGCCACAAAUUAUACCUCAAAGAUGGUACUUUACUGUUUGCAGAAAAAGGCUUUGCUUACAGAGUAUGGAUCCCAAGUGGGAUUCUUUUAAUAGUAAAUCUAGAAUCGACCGUAGAUCCAAUUACGCAGAAGGCGAGCAUUUCCUUUUCGCUCAAAACUAAAUUCUGUGGCUUGGUUCCUCAUCAGCAUGUCAGAGCCAAAGGAUUGCAAUUCAGAUAUGUUUCAGCAGUCAUUUGGGAUAAUGUAUUACAGAAAGUGAUCGUAAUUAUUGAAACGAAAAAACCAUAUCAAGAUACAAAGAGCAAUUUUUUGGGAAUUGAUAUGAAAGAUGGGCUAUUAGAUAUUAGAAGUGGCUUCGAGAAUCUCCAUGGCUUGGAUAUCCCCAUUAGCUCAAAAUAUAUUAUUUUCUUCGAUAAGUUGAGCGGUAAUAUGCAUUAUAUUCCUUUUCACAAAAAAGGACGAAGAGGGAGAGACAUGUAUUUCCAAAAUAUUGAAGUGUAUCAAAGAAUAUACAACAAGACGACACCCUAUGCAUAGCUCGUUUUCAUAUAUUUGUCGUCUUGUAUUCAUGAAAUGAGGGCAGUGCUGACGCUUCCUGGAGCUCCAGAGACAUUGGUAAUGUUGUACUCUAUGCACAAGCGUCACAAUGGCGCCAAAAACUAUUUCUUUUGACCUCGUUGACCUCGGUUCUAAAGACAUUUAUCAAAACGCCAUUCGAACAUUAAAAUCAACGUCAAUCAUUAUCAAAAAUAUCCCUGAGCUAUAUAAAUACGACAUAUUGAGAAAAAUCGGUACAAAUAUCGAAAUAUAAGAUACUUUCGAACUAUUUCGGCAAAUCACCCUGACACCUGCGCGACCUAGUCACACACGGACUGAUAUUUCAAUAUGGCGACGAGUUGAAAGCCAAAGAAAAUCUUGCCCUCCCAUGAAAGUCUUGACGGCUCAGGGGUUAGAGGGCUUGACUCUCUACCGGGUGGUCACUGGUUCGACCCCGAUGGUUACAUUUUUCCUCUUUUUUUCUUCAAUUUUUUUUAUUUUUUAUUUUCUUGUCUAUUCAUUGGUUCAUUGCCCUGCAUAGACUUGAUUACUCACAACUUCGAUACGAUUCCAAGAAAAUCAACUCGAACCUUAUUCCAAAUCCGCCAUUGCUUAACCUUGUUUCGUAUAUGGAACAGGGUUACGAAUACGUCGUGAGCAGUCGCUUUUCGGAUAUGAAUAUAUACGUCUCGAAUCAGCCCUUCGAAACACCCCAGUCAGAGUGACUUCAAGUUCUUCAUGAUAGUUUUAUCCUCCUCGAAACUGGAGAUAUCCGGUAAUACUUCUUCCAUGGGUACCACUCUCUCAAGCAUCCUUACUCUAACGAUGACGAUCUCCUAUCUCCAUCUCGACAGCUCAGCGCAAAAUCUCGACACCAUCACUUAUUUUAGCCUCAAGUUCUAUUAGCAUUUUCUUAUGGUGAAGUUAAUUCGCCGUGUAAUACGCCAUGACGAAAGGAACUGGGAUCGAUGGAUUUCAUCAGAGGCAUUUGGGAUAGUAGACGUUUUAAUGAUAAGCAUUAUUGACUAUGUCCGGCUUUGCCAGAACAACGACGAGAUUACGUUGUUACCGGGUAAGUAUAGGCGAAGAAAGCAACCAACGAGACAACCUAUCCCAACCAGAAAUGAUGAAUUGUGAUCAAGUGCUGGCAUGUGUUGGCAUGGCAAAUGAACCGAUGGGAAUGAUCACGAAAGGGAAAGCUGACAAAGGCUCCGGGAGAUUAGUCACGUUACGAUAACAAAAGGUGGAUACAGGUAUAUACAUAAGUGUUUCCUUGACGGCCGAAUUGAACAGCCUUUUUAACUCGUCCUCUGCCGUUACAAGAGCAGGUCCAAUUCGUCUUGGGGACGACUUAGAACGGCUGAUGCUUUCCGACUCAAAAAGCAUCACAACUGAGAAGUGAAGACACAGUAAUACAUCGCUGAUUGCAUUGUUGCCGAUUGUAUUUCCUUGGUAUGGGUCCAAUUUCUCUGAGGACUACACCGGCUUAGGCUGGUUAAUGCAUUGCUACUCCUCAUGCAUAUCAAUCACGAUGCAUAGACACAGCCUUACAAUCUCCACUGCAUUUUUUUCUGCUUAUUGGACGAGCAGGCUUCUUCUUGUUUCUUCUAGGUAUGUAUGACAAGGGGUAGGUCUAAUUUACAAUGGCUUAGUAAGCUUAUGCCAUACCACUCCUUAAAAAACACACAAUCAGGAUGAGAUUUAGAUACAGCGUUUCCUGCUGUAACCACUGCCGGUUUUUCAGUAUCCUGUAUUCACAAGGGACCCUGUUCAAUUGCCAGGAUACUUAAGAUGACUUAAUCUUAUCCUAUUCUACUGUAUAACAAUAAUGGUUGCCAGAUCACUGACCAACCUUGGAGUAAAACCUUAUUAUCAAAAAUUGUGGUCAUGAUGUUCAGAGAGGACGAGAUUGUUUCCAAAAACAUCACAAAAAUGAUAUCAUUAACGAGUCAUCUGUUAUGUUAUGCCUACAUUUCAUUUGUUAAUGGUAAAGGAACCAAAGGCCAUGUAUUUCGCAUGCCCAGGGGCCCCAGCUCACUCCUUGGGAAUGAAUUCAAUUAGCAGCGGGAAAGCGCUUACCAAAUUGGUCGCCGGAGACAUAAUGGUUUUACGUGAGUAAGAAAUUACUCUGCUUUAACUUGCGGUAGAAUGGAGGCUGGACCAAACAUCUUCAAUUAGUCCAAGAAACGUGAUUAUGGCCGAGACAAUCAAAUUAUGUCGCUAUUAUUGCGGGAUCUCACGGGAUUAUCGAGAAAUCUCACGAGAGUUGAUGGUCACUGGCCACAGCCGAGUCUGACAGUUAUCUGACCGAAGUCGAUAUAGAAUGUAAGGUUUAUCCUGUCUUUGACAGAAUCCCCUGAAAUAAUUCCCAACAGGCACUCAAUAAUGGAAUUUACCAAGACAGGCUUUCGUCCAGGAAAUGGUUUGGUUAAUUAAAUGAACCUAUUGUCGGCCAACGGUUUAGGUCAUUUCGGUUAUCUCGCUUGUCGAUCACACCAGGUAUAGCCUCAGUAUUUGUGCCUGGGAAAUUGAUAAAUCAAUCGGCGGAUGGAGAACGGAAUCCGCAGAAGACCGUCUAUUGUUCGGAAAUGCUAAUAAGCUAUAACACAGAGCCUCGCAAUAAAGUGGUAUUCCCUAAAUUGACACGUUUAUUGUGUCUCUUUCGAUAUACAUAUCGUUCUGUACAUAGAAGUAUGCUACACUAACAGUUAUUUGAUAAUGAAAGUGCUAUUCAAUUGCUUCCAUUAUUUUCCACGAGAGUAAAUUCGAUCGGAUGCAAUAAACCUAGAGAAGUGGUUUUUCCAAGUACAAACAGAGCCAAUCUGUAAAUGUGUCAGUAUCUUCAAGACAAGACAUGAUAUUAGAAAGUUCAAAAUAUUCACUGGAUUCGAAUUUACUGGUUACAUUUUCACAACGGCUUCUUCGGGACUGAAUCUGUUCACGUCUGAUCUAGCACCAAUUCGAAUUUAAACAGAAAAUCGAUUGAAUUUUCUGAUAAUAUUGAAAAUCGCCUGGAUUACUAAAAGUAUGCACCAGUAUUUUCCUGACCC